GGAGAAGUUAUUGCGUUUGAGAGGCAGACGAAGUUUCUGGUUUUGAAACGGCCGCCAACGAACGGCCGACCUACCCAGUGUGAUGUGCUGUUCCUGAAUCUGAACACUGUCAAGGAUUUAAAGAUCACCAAGGAGGUUAACAGUCCCACGGAGCUUACGCUUCAGAACCUGGACAUGAACUUGUUGUCCGCCCGGAAGGAGGCGGAACUGGAGAAGAAGCGGCGUCUGGUGGCGGCCAUCAAGGCCAACGUGUCAGACGAGGGUCGCGACCC